rnacentral:rRNA from 1 species
GGUUAAGCGACUAAGCGUACACGGUGGAUGCCCUGGCAGUCAGAGGCGAUGAAGGACGUGCUAAUCUGCGAUAAGCGUCGGUAAGGUGAUAUGAACCGUUAUAACCGGCGAUUUCCGAAUGGGGAAACCCAGUGUGAUUCGUCACACUAUCAUUACGUGAAUACAUAGCGUAAUGAAGCGAACCGGGGGAACUGAAACAUCUAAGUACCCCGAGGAAAAGAAAUCAACCGAGAUUCCCCCAGUAGCGGCGAGCGAACGGGGAGCAGCCCAGAGUCUGAAUCAGCUUGUGUGUUAGUGGAACGGUCUGGAAAGUCCGACGGUACAGGGUGAUAGUCCCGUACACCAAAAUGCACAGGUUGUGAACUCGAAGAGUAGGGCGGGACACGUGGUAUCCUGUCUGAAUAUGGGGGGACCAUCCUCCAAGGCUAAAUACUCCUGACUGACCGAUAGUGAACCAGUACCGUGAGGGAAAGGCGAAAAGAACCCCGGCGAGGGGAGUGAAAAAGAACCUGAAACCGUGUACGUACAAGCAGUGGGAGCAUCCUUUUGGGUGUGACUGCGUACCUUUUGUAUAAUGGGUCAGCGACUUAUAUUCUGUAGCAAGGUUAACCGUAUAGGGGAGCCGAAGGGAAACCGAGUCUUAACUGGGCGUUAAGUUGCAGGGUAUAGACCCGAAACCCGGUGAUCUAGCCAUGGGCAGGUUGAAGGUUGGGUAACACUAACUGGAGGACCGAACCGACUAAUGUUGAAAAAUUAGCGGAUGACUUGUGGCUGGGGGUGAAAGGCCAAUCAAACCGGGAGAUAGCUGGUUCUCCCCGAAAGCUAUUUAGGUAGCGCCUCGUGAACUCAUCUUCGGGGGUAGAGCACUGUUUCGGCUAGGGGGUCAUCCCGACUUACCAACCCGAUGCAAACUGCGAAUACCGAAGAAUGUUAUCACGGGAGACACACGGCGGGUGCUAACGUCCGUCGUGAAGAGGGAAACAACCCAGACCGCCAGCUAAGGUCCCAAAGUCAUGGUUAAGUGGGAAACGAUGUGGGAAGGCACAGACAGCCAGGAUGUUGGCUUAGAAGCAGCCAUCAUUUAAAGAAAGCGUAAUAGCUCACUGGUCGAGUCGGCCUGCGCGGAAGAUGUAACGGGGCUAAACCAUGCACCGAAGCUGCGGCAGCGACACUAUGUGUUGUUGGGUAGGGGAGCGUUCUGUAAGCCGUUGAAGGUGUAUCGUGAGGUAUGCUGGAGGUAUCAGAAGUGCGAAUGCUGACAUAAGUAACGAUAAUGCGGGUGAAAAACCCGCACGCCGGAAGACCAAGGGUUCCUGUCCAACGUUAAUCGGGGCAGGGUGAGUCGACCCCUAAGGCGAGGCCGAAAGGCGUAGUCGAUGGGAAACAGGUUAAUAUUCCUGUACUUGGUGUUACUGCGAAGGGGGGACGGAGAAGGCUAUGUUAGCCGGGCGACGGUUGUCCCGGUUUAAGCAUGUAGGCGGAGGUUCCAGGUAAAUCCGGUACCUUUUUAACGCUGAGGUGUGAUGACGAGGCACUACGGUGCUGAAGUAACAAAUGCCCUGCUUCCAGGAAAAGCCUCUAAGCAUCAGGUAACACGAAAUCGUACCCCAAACCGACACAGGUGGUCAGGUAGAGAAUACCAAGGCGCUUGAGAGAACUCGGGUGAAGGAACUAGGCAAAAUGGUGCCGUAACUUCGGGAGAAGGCACGCUGAUAUGUAGGUGAAGUGAUUUACUCAUGGAGCUGAAAUCAGUCGAAGAUACCAGCUGGCUGCAACUGUUUAUUAAAAACACAGCACUGUGCAAACACGAAAGUGGACGUAUACGGUGUGACGCCUGCCCGGUGCCGGAAGGUUAAUUGAUGGGGUUAUCCGUAAGGAGAAGCUCUUGAUCGAAGCCCCGGUAAACGGCGGCCGUAACUAUAACGGUCCUAAGGUAGCGAAAUUCCUUGUCGGGUAAGUUCCGACCUGCACGAAUGGCGUAAUGAUGGCCAGGCUGUCUCCACCCGAGACUCAGUGAAAUUGAACUCGCUGUGAAGAUGCAGUGUACCCGCGGCAAGACGGAAAGACCCCGUGAACCUUUACUAUAGCUUGACACUGAACACUGGUCCUUGAUGUGUAGGAUAGGUGGGAGGCUUUGAAGUGUGGACGCCAGUCUGCAUGGAGCCAUCCUUGAAAUACCACCCUUUAAUGGCUGGUGUUCUAACGUGGACCCGUAAUCCGGGUUGCGGACAGUGUCUGGUGGGUAGUUUGACUGGGGCGGUCUCCUCCUAAAGAGUAACGGAGGAGCACGAAGGUUAGCUAAUCCUGGUCGGACAUCAGGAGGUUAGUGCAAAGGCAUAAGCUAGCUUGACUGCGAGAGUGACGGCUCGAGCAGGUGCGAAAGCAGGUCUUAGUGAUCCGGUGGUUCUGAAUGGAAGGGCCAUCGCUCAACGGAUAAAAGGUACUCCGGGGAUAACAGGCUGAUACCGCCCAAGAGUUCAUAUCGACGGCGGUGUUUGGCACCUCGAUGUCGGCUCAUCACAUCCUGGGGCUGAAGUAGGUCCCAAGGGUAUGGCUGUUCGCCAUUUAAAGUGGUACGCGAGCUGGGUUUAGAACGUCGUGAGACAGUUCGGUCCCUAUCUGCCGUGGGCGCUGGAGAAUUGAGGGGGGCUGCUCCUAGUACGAGAGGACCGGAGUGGACGCAUCACUGGUGUUCGGGUUGUCAUGCCAAUGGCAUUGCCCGGUAGCUAAAUGCGGAAGAGAUAAGUGCUGAAAGCAUCUAAGCACGAAACUUGCCCCGAGAUGAGUUCUCCCUGAGACUUUAAGUCUCCUGAAGGAACGUUGAAGACGACGACGUUGAUAGGUCGGGUGUGUAAGUGUAGCGAUACAUUGAGCUAACCGAUACUAAUGAACCGUGAGGCUUAACCUU